rnacentral:rRNA from 1 species
AUACGGAGGAUCCGAGCGUUAUCCGGAUUUAUUGGGUUUAAAGGGUGCGCAGGCGGCCAUUUAAGUCAGCGGUUAAAUCGUGGGGCUCAACCCCAUUCUGCCGUUGAUACUGGGUGGCUUGAUUGCGGUCGAGGUUGGCGGAAUUCGUUGUGUAGCGGUGAAAUGCAUAGAUAUGACGAAGAACACCGAUUGCGUAGGCAGCUGACCAGACCGCAAAUGACGCUCAUGCACGAAAGUGCGGGGAUCGAACAGGAUUAGAUACCCUGGUAGUCCGUACAGUAAACGAUGAAUACUUGUUUUCGGCGAUAUAAUGUCGGAGGCAAAGCGAAAGCGAUAAGUAUUCCACCUGGGGAGUACGCCGGCAACGGUGAAACUCAAAGGAAUUGACGGGG